UACGUAGGGUGCAAGCGUUAUCCGGAAUUAUUGGGCGUAAAGAGCUCGUAGGCGGUUUGUCGCGUCUGCUGUGAAAAUUGGAGGCUCAACCUCCAGCCUGCAGUGGGUACGGGCAGACUAGAGUGCGGUAGGGGAGAUUGGAAUUCCUGGUGUAGCGGUGGAAUGCGCAGAUAUCUGGAGGAACACCGGUGGCGAAGGCGGCAUCCUGGACCAAUACUGACGCUGAGGAGCGAAAGCCAGGGGAGCAAACGGG
rnacentral:rRNA from 1 species